rnacentral:rRNA from 1 species
AAUAGAUACCCCGGUAGUCCACGCCGUAAACGAUGAGUGCUAGGUGUCGGGACAUAAGUUUCGUUGCCGAAGUUAACACAUUAAGCACUCCGCCUGGGGAGUACGGUCGCAAGACUGAAACUCAAAGGAAUUGACGGGGACCCGCACAAGCAGCGGAGCAUGUGGUUUAAUUCGAUGCAACGCGAAGAACCUUACCAGGGCUUGACAUCCCUCUGACAGUCCUAGAGAUAGGGCCUUCCCUUCGGGGACAGAGGUGACAGGUGGUGCAUGGUUGUCGUCAGCUCGUGUCGUGAGAUGUUGGGUUAAGUCCCGCAACGAGCGCAACCCUUGCCUUUAGUUGCUAACAGUUAGGCUGAGCACUCUAGAGGGACUGCCGGCAAUAAGUCGGAGGAAGGUGGGGAUGACGUCAAAUCAUCAUGCCCUUUAUGUCCUGGGCUACGCACGUGCUACAAUGGUCGGUACAAAGGGCAGCGAGCGAGCGAUCGUGAGCGAAUCCCGAUAAAGCCGAUCCCAGUUCGGAUUGCG